GACACAGACUCAGGGCCGGGGAGCGAGGACAACAAGUUGCCAUCGAGCUACAGAGUUUGUAAUCGUUUGUCGACAUCAUGGCUGAAGGUGGUAACUGGGGAGGUUAUUCAGUGGCCUCUACAUCAAAGAAACAAAAAGGUGGGAAAUUAACUCAAGUUUUCAAAUGACUUUGGCCAGGCACCUCAUCAAAGGAAGAUGGUCACAACACAGGAACAACGACAGAAAAGCGAAGUCGGAUUGAGAGCAGAACGUCAAUGGAAUGUGAACCGGCCGAAGAGGAAAGGGAACAAUAUCAGUCCCGAAGGCAAGGAAUAGGAGACU